rnacentral:lncRNA from 1 species
UUCUGUUAGAUCUGAUUUGACGCCGUUAGUUUUUCCGGUGAACUUGGUCGGAAAAGCUCAAAUCCGGUGAGCUCGAAUUUUCCGACGAGGCUAAUUUGAACACUAAAAAUCACGAAAAUUAUAUGAACAUGCUCAUAAUCAAACGAUCUAUCAAUCUACAUCAUUAUAAUUCGAAAAAAAGCUAUUAAAAUGAAAACUAAUAUUCAAUUCAAAAUUCGAAAAUUACCAAACUAAAUUUUGAUGGUAUAGAUGGAUAGAGGAUUGAAAAACGAGCAAUUUGAUUACUCAAGCUUCAAAUUUGGAUACCAGAAUCACCUUCAAAGUUAUCUUUGAUUCUCAUGAACUUAAGAAGAACUAACGACGUCAAACCAAAUCUAACGGAAGGACCCAGAUAGGAAAAAAUCAAGAGUUGAAUUACUUAUGAAUUGACAUUUAUAGUUCAGGGACCUAGAAAAAAAAGUGUAUAUAGUUCAGGGACUUUAGAAUU